UCUCCGGUUGGCACUUCGUGAAGGAGCAGACGCUUGGAUGCCGCCCCUUUGUUUUCCAGAUCCUUCUUGAUGGUGGCCACGGGAACCUCCGUUCGACCUAGAAAGUCUGUUACAAGAGGACAGAGCGUAGCCUAUCCACUGCUGGGGACCCUGGCGGCAUCCAAGGAGGGUGUAUAUUCGCCUUACACACACCGAUGUGUGCAUCCCAUAAUUCAGUGGACCUGCGUGUGAGGUCGGCUUUGCGUACCCACGAUCUCUGCGCUCCUUCACUUGCUGUACAGGCGCUCUAACCAAGGUCCUUACACAGCGUUGAUAACCCCACCCCUUUAGCCCGGUCCUUCCCUCUGGAGGUCAACUGUGCCUGCUAGAGGAUGCCCACCUCACCGGUAGAAGAGCCGAGAUUCGAACCUGGGAGCUCAGAAUCUCGGCGUGGGAUUAUCCUGCUUGUGCCACCUGGCCAACGGGAUUGCUAUAUUAUGUCAAGCUGGACCUCCUUUAUCAGCUAUAACAGCCUUCACUCCAUUUAUGGAAUUUAGUCAAAACGGCAAAGGCUCAAGAUGAGACGGCCUGGCUCGCGAUCUACAAUCCAGCUCAUCCCAAAUGUGGUCAAUAAAGUUAAGGUCAGGGCUUUGUGAAAGCCACAAGAGUUCCUUAAAACUAUGGGUCCGUCCGAAAACCUCGAGAGCUCUCUACAUAGAAGCAUAUUACGCCCUCCUGCACGCUCCAGAGAAGAAGACUCUCCAAAUUCUUAGAUACCUUAAUGCUUCUACUGAGGUGCCUUAUUUCGAAGCGAUAAACUGACUGAAUGGGCUUGUCUCUACCAGCUGGACAGACCUACACCCCAAUUAUAAUCAUUAAACACACAGAAAAACACGACUGACCAUCAGGAGCGAACUGCCCGCGUUCGUAAAUAGUGAUGCAUAAGACGUCCUGAUACACGUCCCUGAUGUGAAACUGACAGUUGAAGUUCCACUUGGGGUUGAGCGUGUCGUUCAGCGACCGAGACGUGUAGCACUGCGCCCCCAUGGUCACUUCACAGUAUGAACUGCACUUUCCUGGUACAAAGGUAAACACAGAAAACAGGAGUGUUUAGCCUGAGCCUGGCGUGUAAGAAAGACCUACAAGGGGAUUAAAGACAGCAAAGCUUACCUCCCGGUUUGGAGGAUUUGAGCUCGGUGGCUUCCUGGACAGUGACGAGCAGACGACCAAUUCCACUGGCUUUCAUCGAGCGAGCUGAAUACAAGCACACAGCUUUGAUCUUCUGUACCCAAGCCGUCCUAGUGGAUAAAGUGCACAAUAAAGCAGCAGGGUGUAGACCCGGUUGAUGUGAGAGAUGUGGAACACGGGCUCGUCGCUGGACGGAUCGGACUGCAGCUUUACCAGGGCUUCGUUCAGGAACACAGGCUGACGAGGACAAGAAAUCUUGCCCACCUCCGUGAUGCCUUCACACUGCACGUGGCUCUGGAUCCACUCGAGCCUGUCCGAGUUCUCCUUUUCUCGCACGCCCUCGUUCACCUGAGAGCAGAGCUCCUCCGCCUUCUCCAGAGCCUGGCGCAGCUGAGCGUGAUCCACGUGACUGUCAGGGGUGCUUUCCAGGAUCUGAAAAACACACACAAACACACACAGAGUUAAGUACAGAACAUUUUCAUGUAUCUUGAUGUCACAUGACGGCAGCCUAUAGGAGUUACUCACAUUUUUGAUGUGGAGAGGGUAUCGAGUGAUUCUUUGCAUAGGCUUCAGUAGGAAACUUGACAGGGGCAUUCCUUUACACCGAUAAUCUGUAGCGAUUUUCUGAAGACAAAAAAAUUAUAAUAAUACACCUAAUUAAAAUAGUUAAAAGAAAAUGACUUAAUGAGUUAAUGACCUCAGGUUUACUGGUUAAUUCGCACCAUCAGGCAGUCCUAGCAAUCCUAGUCAAAGUUCUAGUCAGUGUGCGCGCACCUUCAUAAACACUUUAAACUCCGGCUCUUGGUCGGUCUUCUGUUGCAGCAAGGUGGCGGCGUUCAGCUGGCAGCUGCAGAAGCGGAUGUAGGCCUGCAUUUGAGAGAGCUCGGCGGCUAGGAUGUCCCCGAUCAUCUGCACGGGCAUCUUUUCUCCUCCCAUCUUCUUCCUCACACGGAAAGCCCUGCGCCACACGAAAACAGAAAGCCAUGGAAAGUGAACGAUGAGCAUCAACAGUCGUGCCUGAUAAUUCAGCAGUAAUCCAGAGAAGGUGUCCUCAAACUCUUUAGACUAAAAGAGAGCGUGGAUGCCACUCAAGCUGGUUCUGGUUGGUUUCAGAUGCUGGCCAGGCUGGUCUGAUGUGAUUUUCCAAAUUUUGGAGCCAUUUAGUCAAAAGAGCAAUUUGUGAGGUCAGGCACUGACGCUGCCCGAGGAGGCCCAACAGGCAGUUCCAUUUCAUCCCAAAGGUGUUAAUUGGGGUUAGGUCAAAGCGAAGUUUCAAACCAAACUUGUUAAAUCAUGACUUCUUGGAACUCGCCUUCUAAUUUCCAAAAGUGCAGAGGUGCAGCGUUGAUUGUUAGGUGCAGAGUACCUACUUGAGCAGCUUGGUGUUGGACAUGAUGAGCUCCUUCCAGUUGACAAAAAUCAUGUUCAUCUCGGCUUCCGUGAGCCGUCCCGACUCGGUCAUCGGCUUCUGAAACACCUUAAAGCAAGAAAAAUCACAUUUUAAAAACCUUUAGUCUAAUAAUUAAUAAUUAAUAUUGGUUAUUAUACAACCUCCUAGCUUGUUGAAAUGCAACAGUGGAAAACAGGGGCUACUGUCUGUUUCAAAUCAUUAAAUCUCAAGACUUAAUGGCAUACACAUCCCUUCCAAGAGUAAACACAUAUUAUUAUGCUA